UCCGCUUUUUUUCCAGCUGAAGUCCAGGGAAAGCCGAGAUACCGGGGUUGACACGUAGCACAUGGAAGCACGCUGUCCUGCUGGAGAGGAGAUAACUGUGUCGUGUCCAGAUGGAAUCACUGCUACACGAGACAUAAAAAUAACUGACUGUAGCAGUAACUCCGUACCCCAAGGACAUCCACAGAUACCCUUCACUCAGAACCGCCCAUAUCAAUGACUCUGGAUCCAGCUGCAUGCCACAGUAGAUCAUGUGAGGUGAAUUUUAAGCAGCUUUAAGUGCAGUCACCAAAUCAGCUUUAAACUCAUUUUAAUGAGACUCCGCUGUGACCGCUGGCCUCAGCUGCUCCAGAGCUCAGUGACUGGCUGGGUGCAGCAGCAGGCUGAGGAAACAUGGCAAAGCUGGGAAGAGAGAAACCAGGUUUAUUUGAUGAGUUUCUAACUUUAAGGUAGUUUACGUCAAAUAUAAUUAAGAAAACCCAAGUUAUUGGCAGGACAAAUCAUGCAGGAGACACUUUUGUAACCAAAACAACGUGCCGGGUUCUGGUCAUUUUUUUGGUAACAAAAGUGGGCCUGUCAGCUUCUGACUAAACUGGCAAUAAUGAACAAAUAACCCAAGGGCUGAGCACGGCUACAUGGUGUCUUUCACAAGGACAGAAAGCACAGUUUUUCUUAAAAAUAUUUUAUUUGGAUUUUUGACAUUUUACAUGGAUAUUCGUCAUCAAUCUGGAUUCAAAAUUUUCUCUUAAGGGAUCCAAAUGAAUGAGACACCUCAAAAAGGCACUUGUUACCUUUCACAGGUUCUCAGUAUUCUCAAAGGAGUAGCCACUGAUUAGCAGGACCUACACAAAUGAAGUAUAGACCAGUGUUUAAAGCUGCACUGGUUAUAUUUCCAUUGAUUAUGCAAUCCUUUCAAAUCUAUAGAAGACCUACAUUCAUUAACAAUUGCUGACUGAAGUCAAACAACCCCAGCAGACCAAACUUUUGGACGCCAGAAGUCAAACCACAGUCAGAGUUGCGAACAGUUCUUAAAGGGUUUCAUGCUGUUGGAGCAGAUGGAAACCGCCACAGCCACGACUUCUGCUCUGUGGGACGGAGCGCGUCGCUCUGCGCAGGGACAACAAUUACUAUCUCCUGUCACCACAGCUCACACGUGACCAGGAGGGCGGAUGCUGCAGCCCAGCAGGUGCAGGAGAUUCCACGAUGUGUUAUCUCUGGCCACGGACUGUCCUGUUUCCAGGAACACUCUUCUGAUGGACGAGAUAAGAGCCUGCCAGUAACUUCUCUUUGUGCAAAGGAGUUGGCAAGAAUGUCUUCAUCAAAAUGGCUUUGUAGUUGCAUUGGUUUCUAAGAAGUGCAGGAGGAAAUAUAGAUACAGCUGCAUGUUAUAUCCUAU
rnacentral:lncRNA from 1 species